GCCUAACUACCCACUACAUAAUUAAAAUUAAAUAAAAAAUAAAAUCAAUUUUUUUUUCUAAUUUUAGGUUUUACAAAGUCAAAAGAAAUUUGAUGAGUCCUUGACUAUCUCCACGUUUUUUAUUCGGCCCCACUUUAUUGACUGUGCUGCAAAUUAGUCAUUUUCUGCUCUUUUUUAACUCAUAGCAUCCCAAUUGCACUCCUGAUAGGACUAAAGUAUAAAAUCACUAAUUUAGCAGGGAUCAAUUCAAGAAUUAACCAAUUUAAACAUAAAAAAUAUUUAAAUUUAACAUGUUAUCACUUAGUAAUAAUUUGAAGAGUUAGAUGGAAUUAACGACGUAUUAACAUCAAAUGUUGAACAAUUCUCAAAAGUACAUUUCUACUAAAUAGAAAAUGCCAAUAGUUAAUUGACAAAUUUUGUUCUGCAACUAUACCAAACUAGAAUAAAUAUAGUAAAUUAAUAAAUUUUAAUAAAAACUAUCAUCAAUAAUAAUUUGACUAAGAUUUUUAAAUCAGAAAGAUAAAAACUUUAAUUUUUUUAAACAUAGAAAUUAAUAGCAUGUUUGAAAAGAAAUGAGACAUUGAAAUUUUCUUAUUUUCCAUGAUUAUUAAGGCUAUAAAGGGGUAUGGUCAUCUCAAUCAAAACUCCACCUUGCAUUUCCCUAGAUUUAAGUGAUAGUGUAGAAGCAAGAUUGUUGAUCAUUUCCAGGUGGGGAUAAUUACAAAGUUAGAUUCACUUUCUAUAACAUUCAUUCUUCAUCAAAAGGUUAAAAAACUAAUGCACCAGUUCAUCAAUGUUCCAUUUAAAAGAAGAGAUAAAGAACAAGCUAUUACUCUAUCAAACCCAACAGUCAACCUUAAAAACCACCACGAAACAAAGCUAGACGGAUGGGCAACCAACCCAAAUCUCUCUCCAUUUCUAGUAAUCGAAAUAGAUAUAAACUUGAGUUCGUUCCCAGUUUCCAUUGAAAAAGAAAACCUCACAGAAGAAAAAAAGAUACAAAAUUUGUUCAUUAAGCUGUGAAAAUAAAUUCCUAAAGUGAAAAUAAAAUUCCUAGUUUCCAUUCGAAUUAGGUACAGUUCAGGUGACCAAACAAAAGGAUACUAAAACAUAAUCAAAACACAAAAUUUUCCUUCAUUUUCUUGGUGACCAAACAAAAAGAAGAAAGUGAAAAGGAGAUUUCUUACAUGAGUCGGUUGAGGAAGUUAGGUAGGCGCCGACGACAGAGGAAGCAGGUGAGAGGUGGAGAUGAAGGAGGUGAGUGGAGCCGACUUAGGGAUUUUGGUUUUGGAAUUGGGAAUAAGGGGGAGGAGGGCACAAAACUAAAACUAAAAGUAAAG
rnacentral:lncRNA from 1 species